rnacentral:misc_RNA from 1 species
UUUCAUUAAGGGUAAAAUAGUCAUUUCAUAGUUAAAUUGUUACUUUAUAUAGAAAUGUGUCAUUCUUUUUGGACUUACUGAGAAGGAAAGAAAGUCGCAUAAAUUAGGACAUAGGGAGUAGAAUCUUAUGAUCACAAGAGUAAACAAGCUUUUGCUUUAUCCCUACCUUUUUUUUUAUGACCCUUUAUCCCGUACCUUAUCAAGUAACUUGCUUGAUGCAGA